rnacentral:rRNA from 1 species
GUGGCCAGCCGCCGCGGUAAUACGGAGGGUGCAAGCGUUGUCCGGAAUCGCUGGGCGUAAAGGGUUCGCAGGCGGGGCAGCAAGUCGGAGGUGAAAGCCCGUGGCUCAACCACGGAAGUGCCUUCGAAACUGUUGCUCUUGAGUCCCGGAGAGGUUGCCGGAAUUCGUGGUGUAGCGGUGAAAUGCGUAGAUAUCACGAGGAACACCAGAGGCGAAAGCGGGCAACUGGACGGGUACUGACGCUCAGGCACGAAAGCGCGGGGAGCAAACAGGAUUAGAUACCCGUGUAGUCC